GACGAACGCUGGCGGCGUGCCUAAUACAUGCAAGUAGAACGCACAGUUUAUACCGUAGCUUGCUACACCAUAAACGGUGAGGUGCGAACGGGUGAGUAACGAGUAGGUAAUCUGCCUGGUAGCGGGGGAUAAAUAUUGGAAACGAUAGCUAAAACAGCAUAAUAUUGAUGAUUGCAAGAUAAUUGAUUGAAAGAUGAUAUUGCAUAACUACCAGAUGGACCUGCGUUGUAUUAGCUAGUAGGUGAGGUAACGGAUCACCUAAGCGACGAUACAUAGCCGACCUGAGAGGGUGAGCCGCCACCCCGGGACUUGGACCCCGCCCAAGCUCCUUCCGGAGGCAACCGUAGGGAAUCUUCGGCCAUAGACGAAAGUCUUACCGAGCCACGCCGCGUGAGUGAAGAAGGUUUUCCGAUCGUAAAGCUCUUUUUUACGGGAAGAACGGGUGUGAGAGUGGAAUGUUCACACUUUGACGGUAUCUUACCAGAAAGGGACGGCUAACUACGUG
rnacentral:rRNA from 1 species